CGAACGAUGAAGCCCAGCUUGCUGGGUGGAUUAGUGGCGAACGGGUGAGUAACACGUGAGUAACCUGCCCCCGACUCUGGGAUAAGCCCGGGAAACUGGGUCUAAUACCGGAUAUGACCUCGCACCGCAUGGUGCGGGGUGGAAAGAUUUAUCGGUGGGGGAUGGACUCGCGGCCUAUCAGCUUGUUGGUGAGGUAAUGGCUCACCAAGGCGACGACGGGUAGCCGGCCUGAGAGGGUGACCGGCCACACUGGGACUGAGACACGGCCCAGACUCCUACGGGAGGCAGCAGUGGGGAAUAUUGCACAAUGGGCGCAAGCCUGAUGCAGCGACGCCGCGUGAGGGAUGACGGCCUUCGGGUUGUAAACCUCUUUCAGUAGGGAAGAAGCGAAAGUGACGGUACCUGCAGAAGAAGCGCCGGCUAACUACGUGCCAGCAGCCGCGGUAAUACGUAGGGCGCAAGCGUUAUCCGGAUUUAUUGGGCGUAAAGAGCUCGUAGGCGGUUUGUCGCGUCUGCCGUGAAAGUCCGAGGCUCAACCUCGGAUCUGCGGUGGGUACGGGCAGACUAGAGUGAUGUAGGGGAGACUGGAAUUCCUGGUGUAGCGGUGAAAUGCGCAGAUAUCAGGAGGAACACCGAUGGCGAAGGCAGGUCUCUGGGCAUUUACUGACGCUGAGGAGCGAAAGCAUGGGGAGCGAACAGGAUUAGAUACCCUGGUAGUCCAUGCCGUAAACGUUGGGCACUAGGUGUGGGGGACAUUCCACGUUUUCCGCGCCGUAGCUAACGCAUUAAGUGCCCCGCCUGGGGAGUACGGCCGCAAGGCUAAAACUCAAAGGAAUUGACGGGGGCCCGCACAAGCGGCGGAGCAUGCGGAUUAAUUCGAUGCAACGCGAAGAACCUUACCAAGGCUUGACAUGUGCCAGACCGCUCCAGAGAUGGGGUUUCCCUUCGGGGCUGGUUCACAGGUGGUGCAUGGUUGUCGUCAGCUCGUGUCGUGAGAUGUUGGGUUAAGUCCCGCAACGAGCGCAACCCUCGUUCCAU
rnacentral:rRNA from 1 species